AAUAAGUUAAUUAAGAGCGUAAGGUGGAUGCCUUGGCUCUCAGAGGCGAUGAAGGACGUGAUAAGCUGCGAUAAGCUACGGGGAUUGGCACACACAAUUUGAUCCGUAGAUUUCCGAAUGGGGAAACCCACUAUAUUGAAGAUAUAGUAUCCGUUAAGGAAGCAAACCCAGGGAACUGAAACAUCUAAGUACCUGGAGGAAUAGAAAACAAAAGUGAUUCCGCUAGUAGUGGCGAGCGAACGCGGAACAGCCCAAACCAAAAUUGUUUCGGCAAUUUUGGGGUUGUAGGACCACGAUAUUGAAUGUUUAAUGAAUUAGAAUUCUUUGGAAAAAGAAACC
rnacentral:rRNA from 1 species